AUGAAAUUGCAACCUAUUGUGCGCAUUGUUGUUUUUUUGCUUAAUUAUAAAGAAAAUCAAGAAGUUGGUGUCUCUGAACAAGCUGUUCGUGGCAGGGCGGUUCAAAACCUUCAUGGGCAAAGGAGGGCUGAGGAGCUGCAGAACACGCCUGAGGACCCCUCCUUGUCUCCACCACGGGAAUGGCGCUGGAGCGAAGCGAUUCUUCUGGUUGGUUGGAGAGUGGAGGAGGAGAAAGUGGGGCGAAGGCAGAGGAAGGAGCGAAGAUGGAGCUGCACGUUCCGGCGGGCUUUGAAGCAGGGAUGGGCUGUGAGGUCAAAGUGGCUGGGAGCAAUGGGAGAUGCUGGGGAAGCCCGGUGGAGAAGGUCCUCAGAUCCCACUGCCUGUCCCUGGAAGAGGAGAUAAAGCAGGAAGAUGAGGAGGUAAGAGAAUUUCCUCCAGGUACUUCUACGUAGGUGAAAACCGGGUACAAUACUCAAAAUCCUCACGGGGACAACUAGCUUUUUCUGGAUGUCCACCAUGGAAGAACCGUCUCGAUCCCCAUAGGAUAGUGAUUCUGAACAGCAGUGUGCUACUUCAGACAAUUUCCCUCUCUUUUGUCUGUUGGAAUCCAUUAGUUUGUUGAACUUCGCCGUGUUUGUCAGUUUGCUGUUUGAUCUGUUGGUCUGUAAGUAAAUGAAACAUUUCAUUCUUUCUUCUGUUAAUGGCCCAGGGUGAAUUAUUGAGAUGGUAAGUGCCAGUUGAUGAGGAAAAAAGGGGUGGACUAAAUCUGGGGAACUAGAAGCUGUUCUGCUCUGUGAAUCCCGGCACUUCUGCUGCUCAGCUGGAGGGAUUUAACCAGAAAUUCAAAGCUCUGCAACAUAUUUCUCUCCUCAUGUUUCUGUCCCUUUUCUUGCCUGGGCUCCUCUUCAUUCUAGGUCCAGGGAACAGUAGCCAAGGUGGACACACAUUUCCAGGAAGGAGAGGAUGCUCCUUCAGACGCCAGGCAGAGGGUUGUGUUCAGAUGGAUUGUCCGUGAGGGUGAUGGAGACACUGCCUCCCUGGGUAAGGCUUAGUAUAGUACAGUACUCAAGACUUAAGUGUCAAAGUCAUAGGACCAUGGUAUUUAUGGGGGAUAGAUUCCAAUUUCCCCACGCACACACCGAAAUACACGGACGUAUCAAAUCUAUUUUCCUUUCUAUGAAUGUUUUUCUUUGUUAUGUUCUGCCACUGCCCUGUCGAGCUCUUGCAAACCCAAGACCAUGGCUUCCUUUAUGGAAUUAAUCCGUCUCCUGUUUGGUCUUCCUCUUUUCCCGCUGCCUUCACCUUCUAUGAAUAUGCCUCCAAUCUAUGAGUUGGUUUUUGGGUUCUCCCUGGAGCUUUGUCAGGGGAGAAACUUCCCGAUCAGGCCCCUGUGAAUUGUUUUUAAAGGGCUGUAUUUCUGUUCAUCGAGAGUUUGCAUACAUCUAAAGCCAGAAAAUUAUGCCAAGGGUGGGCAACUGGUGGUCCACCUCAAGUUGCUGGACUGUGAUUCUUAUUGGCUCUAGCCAGCGGUUGAGGGAGCAGCUGUAGGCCAGCAGCAGCUGGAGGGCUGCAAGUUGCCGACCUGUUCAUUAUGUGCAAAAGUAUCAUGAAAUAAAUUUGUUUUCUUUCAAUGUAUUUAUACA
ensembl:lncRNA